GUGGGGAAUAUUGGACAAUGGGGGGAACCCUGAUCCAGCCAUGCCGCGUGUGUGAAGAAGGCCUUUUGGUUGUAAAGCACUUUAAGCGAGGAGGAGGCUACCGAGAUUAAUACUCUUGGAUAGUGGACGUUACUCGCAGAAUAAGCACCGGCUAACUCUGUGCCAGCAGCCGCGGUAAUACAGAGGGUGCAAGCGUUAAUCGGAUUUACUGGGCGUAAAGCGCGCGUAGGUGGCCAAUUAAGUCAAAUGUGAAAUCCCCGAGCUUAACUUGGGAAUUGGAUUCGAUACUGGUUGGCUAGAGUAUGGGAGAGGAUGGUAGAAUUCCAGGUGUAGCGGUGAAAUGCGUAGAGAUCUGGAGGAAUACCGAUGGCGAAGGCAGCCAUCUGGCCUAAUACUGACACUGAGGUGCGAAAGCAUGGGGAGCAAACAGGAUUAGAAACCCGGGUAGUCC
rnacentral:rRNA from 1 species